UACGGAAGGGGCAAGCGUUGUUCGGAAUCAUUGGGCGUAAAGGGCGCGUAGGUGGUUCUGUAUGUCUACCGUGAAAGCAUACAGCUCAACUGUAUUUUGUCGGUAGAAACUGCAGGACUUGAGGCUGGGAGGGGCUGGUGGAAUUCCCUGUGUAGCGGUGAAAUGCGUAGAGAUGGGGGAGAACACUCGUGGCGAAGGCGGCGACCUGGGCCAAUAUUGACACUGAGGAGCGAAAGCGUGGGGAGCAAACAGG
rnacentral:rRNA from 1 species